GCAAUAUGAAGGUCAGGCUGAAGACCUUACCCGAUUAGCUGAGAGGUGGUGCAUGGCCGUCGUCAGUUCGUACUGUGAAGCAUCCUGUUAAGUCAGGCAACGAGCGAGACCCACGUCCACAGUUGCCAGCAUACCCUCCCGGGGUGAUGGGUACACUGUGGAGACCGCCGCUGCUAAAGCGGAGGAAGGAGUGGGCAACGGUAGGUCAGUAUGCCCCGAAUCUCCCGGGCUACACGCGGGCUACAAUGGUUGGUACAAUGGGCAUCUACCCCGAAAGGGGAAGGAAAUCUCUUAAAGCCAAUCGUAGUUCGGAUUGAGGGCUGCAACUCGCCCUCAUGAAGCUGGAAUCCGUAGUAAUCGCGUCUCAACAGAACGCGGUGAAUACGUCCCUGCUCCUU
rnacentral:rRNA from 1 species